AAAUCUGCUUGAUGCCCUGUAACGAGAUAACACCCACAUCCACAUCGGAGAGACCCUGACAGUUCAUCUCGCUGUGUUUGAUCCAAGCCUUGUUGUUCUGUUAUCCAAUCAUGGAUAUAUGGUAUUCAAACCAGCCUCUUUUUUCUCUCAAAAGCCUGCAUGCCUCUCUAAUCUCUGCAACCCAGCAUUAGGAAAACCUACAUUUGGAGAAAAUAGAGGCCAGUCAGCAGGACAGCUGCUCUUCCCUGUCACUCUGAAGUAUUGAUGUUCACUUAAUCAUCACUUGCUGACAGCGAGGAUGUUUUGAUAUACAGUGGUGCAGAAGGUGAGGGAGUUCAACAAAUCCCUCUUUUCCUGACUCAGUAAAUGUCAUGUGAACAAUGGGGCUUCCUGCAUGCUUCUGGCUCCAGCGUGGAUAACUGGGGUCGGGCUGUUAAAGAGAGAGAGAGAGAGCAUGGAGGAGAGGCUAAAUGGUCAGAGUUCCCUGGUCAAGAGGAGUACAAGUCUCACAUCACCCAACGGGAGGGAAACGUAUAACUGAGUGAUGAAAGUGCAGCAAUUUCCUUCCGCAUCAUUGCAGAAUGUUGCCUUCGGGGACAAAAGCAGAUUGUAAUUGAAAUUGUUUUCCAGACUUUUCUGUAUCCAAAUGUUUGCGCUGUUUCUCCUUAUUGUAACAAUGUUUUAAAGAAAUACACAUGCACUGAA